rnacentral:rRNA from 1 species
AUUGACGCUGGCGGCAGGCCUAACACAUGCAAGUCGAACGGUAGCACAGAGAGUUGCUCUCGGGUGACGAGUGGCGGACGGGUGAGUAAUGUCUGGGAAACUGCCGAUGGAGGGGGAUAACUACUGGAAACGGUAGCUAAUACCGCAUAACGUCGCAAGACCAAAGAGGGGGACCUUCGGGCCUCUUGCCAUCAGAUGUGCCCAGAUGGGAUUAGCUAGUAGGUGGGGUAACGGCUCACCUAGGCGACGAUCCCUAGCUGGUCUGAGAGGAUGACCAGCCACACUGGAACUGAGACACGGUCCAGACUCCUACGGGAGGCAGCAGUGGGGAAUAUUGCACAAUGGGCGCAAGCCUGAUGCAGCCAUGCCGCGUGUAUGAAGAAGGCCUUCGGGUUGUAAAGUACUUUCAGCGGGGAGGAAGGUGUUGCGGUUAAUAACCGCAGCAAUUGACGUUACCCGCAGAAGAAGCACCGGCUAACUCCGUGCCAGCAGCCGCGGUAAUACGGAGGGUGCAAGCGUUAAUCGGAAUUACUGGGCGUAAAGCGCACGCAGGCGGUCUGUCAAGUCGGAUGUGAAAUCCCCGGGCUCAACCUGGGAACUGCAUUCGAAACUGGCAGGCUAGAGUCUUGUAGAGGGGGGUAGAAUUCCAGGUGUAGCGGUGAAAUGCGUAGAGAUCUGGAGGAAUACCGGGUGGCGAAGGCGGCCCCCUGGGACAAAGACUGACGGCUUCAGGUGGCGAAGCGUGUGGGGAAACAAACACAGAGAUAUGAAAUGCUGUAUACACGCCGUAAACACAAUGGUCAACUUGGAGAGGUUGUUCCCCUGGAGGAGCUGGCUUCCCGGGAGCUAACGCGUUAAGUUCGACCGCCUGGGGGAGUACGGCCGCCAGGUUAAAACUCAAAUGAAUUGACGGGGGCCCGCCACAAGCGGUGGGAGCAUGUGGUUUAAUUUCGAUGUGCAACGCGGAGGAACCUUACCUACUCCUUGACAAUCCGAGGGAACUUAGCAGGAGAAUUGCUUUUGGUUUGCGCUUCCGGGAAUCUCUGAAGACCCAGUGGGCUUGCAUUGGCUGUGCGUCUCAGCUCCGUGGUU